UUAUGAUCAUAGGGAUACACUAGGCCAUU
rnacentral:piRNA from 1 species